rnacentral:rRNA from 1 species
ACCACCAGCUACAUCACCCUACAACUCACCACUGGGAGCCCCACUGAAGCUCAGCAGGUGUGAGCCUGGCCAGUACCUGGAUGGGAGACCUCCUGGGAAAGCUCAGGCUGCUGCUGGAA